rnacentral:rRNA from 1 species
UGGGGAAUCUUGCGCAAUGGGCGAAAGCCUGACGCAGCGACGCCGCGUGCGGGAGGAAGGCCUUAGGGUUGUAAACCGCUUUCAGGAGGGACGAAGCCACUCGGGUUAAUAGCCCAGAGGGUGACGGUACCUCCAGAAGAAGCCCCGGCUAACUACGUGCCAGCAGCCGCGGUAAUACGUAGGGGGCAAGCGUUGUCCGGAUUUAUUGGGCGUAAAGCGCGUGUAGGUGGCCAAGUAGGUCCGCUGUGAAAACUUGAGGCUCAACCUCAAGCUGUCGGUGGAAACCCCUUGGCUAGAGUCCGGAAGAGGAGAGUGGAAUUCCUGGUGUAGCGGUGAAAUGCGCAGAUAUCAGGAAGAACACCAAUGGCGAAGGCAGCUCUCUGGGACGGUACUGACACUGAGACGCGAAAGCGUGGGGAGCGAACAGGAUUAGAUACCCCCGUAGUCC